rnacentral:ncRNA from 1 species
CUACGGUGCCGGCCCCAAUCGGGGUUAAAAGGGAACUAAGGUGCACAGUAACAUGUGCAAACCUAGGCUGUACCCGCAACUGUAGGCGGCCAGCAGAGAGUCAAAUGUGCCACUGGCAAAACGCCGGGAAGGCCGACUCUCUGUAUUGAUCCGCAAGCCAGGAGACCUGCCCGCAC